UUUUACAUCUGCGAAGAGGCCUUCUUGCUCUUAGAAAUCUUAUUACUGUGUUAGGUGAUGAAAAGAAGAGGAAAGAAGGAUCAUUUGUCCGGAGACAGUAAAAUAAGCUGCCUAGUGCAGGUCUGGUGUUUCACACUUCUAGCGUUGUAUUGUUCCAUCACGAGAAGAAACCAUUAGUAGAUACACUCAAAGAUUAGGACAGAUUC